rnacentral:rRNA from 1 species
GAUGAACGCUGGCGGCGUGCCUAAUACAUGCAAGUCGAGCGAACAGACGAGGAGCUUGCUCCUCUGACGUUAGCGGCGGACGGGUGAGUAACACGUGGAUAACCUACCUAUCAGACUGGGAUAACUUCGGGAAACCGGAGCUAAUACCGGAUAAUAUAUUGAACCGCAUGGUUCAAUAGUGAAAGACGGUUUUGCUGUCACUUAUAGAUGGAUACGCGCCGCAUUAGCUAGUUGGUAAGGUAACGGCUUACCAAGGCAACGAUGCGUAGCCGACCUGAGAGGGGGAUCGGCCACACUGGAACUGAGACACGGUCCAGGCUCCUAGGUGAGGCAGCAGUAGGGAAGCUUCCGCAAUGGGCGAAAGCCUGCCGGAGCAACGCCGCGUGAGUGAUGAAGGGCUUCGGAUCGUAAAACUCUGUUAUUAGGGAAGAACAAAUGUGUAAGUAACGAUGCACGUCUUGACGGUACCGAAGCAGAAAGCCACGGCUAACUACGU